GAUUGCAGGCUGCAACCCGCCUGCAUGAAGUCAGAAUUGCUAGUAAUCGCGGAUCAGCAUGCCGCGGUGAAUACGUUCCCGGGCCUUGUACACACCGCCCGUCACACCAUGGGAGCCGGUAAUACCCGAAGUCAGUAGUCCAACCUCGUGAGGACGCUGCCGAAGGUAGGAUUGGCGACUGGGGUGAAGUCGUAACAAGGUAUC
rnacentral:rRNA from 1 species